rfam:Fusobacterium sp. 3_1_5R genomic scaffold supercont1.3, whole genome shotgun sequence.
AUUGAAUAUAAAUCCAAACCAAAGACCGUAGGAGAUUCAUAAGAAUCCUAACAAGUCCUACCGAGGUUGGAGUAAGCAUACGCUGACCUCAACUGUGAUAACAGAACCUCCGGACUUCUUUGGGUACGGAGGUAUUUUUAUGAAAAG